rnacentral:sRNA from 1 species
ACGGGGUAAGGGUUGGGGUGCCAUGCCGAGCCGCCCUACGUAAAGGGCACGAACGGUGCACCACGCAAUAGGUUCACCAUGGUGGCUAACGAUAGCAUGUUCGCGUUGGCUGGAAGAGCAGCGGUGUAGCAUGACGACCCACUGAUGGAAUAGGCGGCCGAGCACAUGGCGAUAGUAAACGAAGCAUGUCGAGCAGUCCACCCAACCCCGAUGGACGUGG